rnacentral:rRNA from 1 species
UACAGAGGGGGCAAGCGUUGUUCGGAAUUACUGGGCGUAAAGGGUGCGUAGGUGGCGGGGUAAGUCAGGUGUGAAAUCUCGGGGCUCAACUCCGAAACUGCACUUGAUACUGCCUUGCUCGAGUACUGGAGAGGAGAUUGGAAUUUACGGUGUAGCAGUGAAAUGCGUAGAUAUCGUAAGGAAGACCAGUGGCGAAGGCGAAUCUCUGGACAGUUACUGACACUGAGGCACGAAGGCCAGGGGAGCAAACAGG